UACGGAAGGGGCGAGCGUUGUUCGGAAUCAUUGGGCGUAAAGGGCGCGUAGGUGGUUCUGUAUGUCUGCCGUGAAAGGGUACAGCUUAACUGUAGCUUGUCGGUAGAAACUGCAGGACUUGAGGCUGGGAGGGGCUGGUGGAAUUCCCUGUGUAGCGGUGAAAUGCGUAGAGAUGGGGGAGAACACUCGUGGCGAAGGCGGCCAGCUAGACCAGUUCUGACACUGAGGCGCGAAAGCUAGGGGAGCAAACGGG
rnacentral:rRNA from 1 species